rnacentral:lncRNA from 1 species
CCCAAAUCCACUGCUGCCUAGACUCUUGGAAGCAUCGAUGGUGCUAAUAUUAUGAAGAUUUUGUUUGAUAAAGUUUUCAUUUAGCCCGUUUGUCUAAUAUUGAAGUAGAAAAAUGAGUUUGCAAUCGUGAAUUUUUUAAAACACACAAAAUUAAAAAAAAAAAAAAAAAUACAGUGCAAUUUCAUUUCAUCAGACUAAGAUGGGUACAACUUUUGAUCCAUGAACGGCCACACUUUGUUAUUGCACUUCACCAACCCAAUAGUUCAAGCAUUCUCUACCUCCAUCACGAUCAAACAGGAAAAAUCAUACAAAAAGUAAAGCAUCAGGUAUCAAAAAUUUCCACCCAUUAUCACCAAUUCGAAAAUUGAAAACUUUUCUCCUUCAUAUCUUUUCCGGUUAUACUUUUCUACGAAGGACAAACAUAAAACAAUAGCUCUACCCGAAAAGAAAAAAGAAAAAAAUAAAUGAGUAUACAAAGACAUAAACAUAUACAUACUGACAGUAAAGCAUUGAGUUUCAGCACAUUUACACUGCACAAUCACCAAUCAAAUUCAAAACAUCCCUUUAUAAUAUCUUUUCCAUUCUCAAUUCCAAUUUCUUCGCCAAUCACAAGCAUAAAACAACUCGCUAUUAAUGGAAAAAUCAUACAAAAAUACGGAGAGUGUGAGAGGUUUGGACCUGAGUAGCGAAAUCUUCGAGAAUGCCUUCUUUGCUAAUGCCAUGUGCGAGGCUUAGCUGUUUCCCGAACUCCAUUGGAGAGUAUAUACCUUUACCUGCUUGAAUGCAUACAAAUUUUGGAAGUUAGGGUUCCAGUUCUGCGAUCUGAAGAAAGAAAUCAUGAAGAGAAGGACGAGAAAAAAACCGUAAAGCCCAAAAACAUCUUGCCGAUAUGGAAACAAACGGUAAACCUAUCCACCAUACCUAGGAUUCAUAGCCAAAAAAUCUGCACAAGAUGUCAAGAAAUUAGAGCAGAGAGAACUUUUUUUUUUUACACAAUUCUUCCUUCCAUUUAAAACAGGCUACUAUAAUAUUCGGCCUAGCGGUGAAAGACAUCAAAAAGAAACCAUGAAUUGCAAAUUUUAAACACUACUAUUGCAUUUAUUUUCUUGUAGUCGGACUUGAAAAAAAAAGGACUUUUUCUGCUCUCUUUAAGUCGGACAUCAGAAAAUGCUUCUCGAAGGUUAAGGGUGUAGUUUUGUUCCUUGAAUUCUAUCUCAAAUAGCGUCAAGAUUUUUGUUGAGUCCAAUUAGAAACAUCUAUAGCCUCUUCCUUUCUACAAUUUGCUUGUAUCUAAUUCCAUCUUCAGGACAUCUCCAUGGGAAUUCCUCGUACAGAUCGAACUGCUACCAAUUAGAGCAGAAAGAAUAGCGAGAGAGAAAGACAUACAAAAAGAAGGAAAAAAAAAAUUGACAAGAAGAUAAAAAAAAUCUGCAUAGUGCUUCGAAUUUUUUUUAUAAUGAGUACGAGCUGGGAAAAGAAGUGGGUAGAGUUCAUUUUGGGUAAUACUUGUCAUGAAUGGGUAAAACCAUUUAUUAAAUUAGCAAUAUCUGUUAGUUGUUUUCCAGGUCAAGAAGUUUUACACUUGGAGCUUAUUAAAGCUUGAACAUCAUGAUUGUUUAAACUUUUUGCAAUAGACAUUGUUUUAUAUAAGAAUCUGCAAAAAAAUUUAGGAGUUUCUAGACAUUUGGUUAAUUUCCACAUUAUGUCUAUAUAUUUGAUUGCUGAGGAAUGUUACUUUCUUGUAAUUAAUUGCAGUUUUUUUCCAAAUACAGAGAAAUAUGUUUCAUUACUCAUUGAAGAUGAUGAUGCUGAAGUUGUAGAGAAAAGAAAUAAGGAUAAUCUAAUUAGUGCUGCAACAAGUCUACUCUUUUUUUUCUUUUUUUCAUUUUUUUUUUUUUUUUGGGUUUACUUACAGGACCAAGUUUAAGAAGAGGAAACUUAUAGGACCGGAGGUUGCUAUUAAGGUCAUUUCUUUGGCUCUGUCGAGCAGUUAACUGUAAGAAUGAAGCUUGCUUGUUAAUGCUUAAACGACAUGAGUAUUGACUUUUUCAGAAGUUAUAAUGGUGAAUAAAUACUGAAAGUGAAUGGAUGAAUUGAUCAAUGGUUAAAAAGCAUAUAAUUUGAUAGUGGUUCAGUAUUUAUGUAUUCUAUUGUUCUUGUAGUUUAAUAUCAUUUGUUUUUAACUAAACCAACUCAAGACUAUUAUUUGAUGUUGACACUUAAGAAGGAAGUUUCUAUAUAUCAGGAAUUGAUUAUUAGCUAAUUGAAUAUAUUGAUGAAAGUACAAAUGCGAUAUGUUAGGCCUCUGUAGAAAUAACCACUUGUCGUGCCUAUAUUAUGCUAUAUACUGAUACUGUCGACGAGCUACCCUAGAGAACUUGAAGAAGUCAUGUUAGGUAUUAAAGUAAAUAAAACAAAAUUGAAAGCUAAAGAAAGAAACAAAAAUAAUAUAGAAUAAGGUUUGUGGUUAUGGACGUUGGAGAGUUUGACGCUAAGAGUGUGUUUGAUUGACAUGGAAAAUAUCACCUAGAAAAGAAAAUAUUUUCCAUCUUUUGUGGAAAAUAAAAAUCACCUCUACCCAAAGAAAAUAUUUUGCUUAAAAACAAGGAAAAUUAGGCAUAUUUUCAAAAGUUGGAAAAUGUUUUCCAUGGAAAAAAAUAGCAAUCAAACACUCCAAGUAGAAAUUUGGGUGAAAAACUGAUAUUUUUCAUGGAAAAUAAAUGUAAUCAAACACACAUUUGUCUCUCUUGGAAAAGUGAAUAAAGCUCAUAGCAUUGUAUUUAAUAUGUUAGGGUGAUUACUCUUUAGCGUUGCGUUUAAGAUAUUAUGGUGAUUACUCUUUCGUAGAAUAGGAUGUUGAAGGAGAGAUGUCGGAUGAUAGUAGCUUUUACUGUUUCUUAAACAUUUAUGAUGAAAGUGGAAGCCCAAGUUUUCUAUGCAUCAGCCUCUUAAUAUACUUCUAAUUUUAGAUAUUUACUUGUGCAUCUAUACAGAGAGAAUAAUACAUGUAAAGGGAAGAAUAAAGUUUUGGAAUGGACAGAAAGUAAUUACACAAUUUGGGGAUUUUUUUGAACAUCAAUUAAUCCUAAAAAGGAAAAGGUAAAGAAGUAGAGUGCGAGAAUUCGAAAAAAAUGGGUAGAAGAUAGUGACAAGGAACAUCAUGAAGAAAACUUGGGCUCAAACAAGUCUUGGCUCUUAAGAAGUUUAUUGUGGGCUCAAGAUACAUAAAAAUUCUCGUAAACAAAAUAAUUAAGAAAAAAAUAGGUAAACCCAUACGUGAGAAAGAAUUAUACUUAGACUUGAGCUGUGUGAGAUGGUUAAUUGAAGUUGUCAGAGAGAGAGAGAGGCCAUGGCGCAUAUCAGUGCGAGAAUAGUGAUAGAAAAUUUUAACAAAGCAUUGACUCUGGCCAUAAAUGAGUGACCAUCAAUUCCAUUUCAGAUUAAACCAUCAAAUGUCAAAAGUUUUCCUCCGUGAGUACGAGGUUGUAAAAUCCGAAAGCAAUUUUUUUUUUUUUUUACACACAACAAAACCAUCAAAUGUAAAAUGUUUUCCUCCACGAUUGCGGGGUUGUAAAAUCACGAAAGCAAUUUUUAUUUUUACU